GGGUGACGUACGGGCGCUGGCUCGUGGCAGGUUCGGCGUGCACUGUUACCAACAAUAGCACGAAUUAAAUUGCGCAUUGCUAUUGGGUAUUCAAGCCACUUGACGACAUACCGCAAUCAUUCGAAACUAGGUAGUCGGAGCGGAAUCACGAUCACACGAUCACCAUACCCGUGCAACGUUGGCCAUUCCGGGUCUGGGCGCAGGGCGGAACGCGUGCGACAAACAUUCAAAAUGGACGUUCUGCUUUUCUUUUUCCGUUGAAUUCCUACUGCCUUUGUGCCUCGGUGCUUACAGUAGCGACGACGCCAUUUGCUUCACUA
rnacentral:pre_miRNA from 1 species